ACAGAUUCUAUGAAGAAGAUUAAAUAGUGGAAUUUUUACAGAGACGUCGUGGCAGGUGGAAACGAUGAAAAAGAAGCUAUGGGACACUUUGGAGAAUGCGAAUGCACGUGAUCUCGCGUUAAGAGAAAAAGCGCAUGGAAACAUGAACUAAGGUGGUACCGCGUUACUAACAUGACGUCCUUAGA
rnacentral:ncRNA from 1 species